rnacentral:misc_RNA from 1 species
UGCUUUGUACAUUUCAGAAAGUUACCUUGUCUUUGUAAUUCUAGAACCCAUUUUUUGGCGCGUUCAAAUGAUUCCAUGCUUGUGAUAUCAUAGACCACAACAGCAGCAGCUGCACCGCGGUAGUACAUGGGAGCCAAGCUAUGGUAUCUUUCCUGCCCUGCUGUAUCCCAUAUAUCAAACUUUACGGUGGCCUCAUUUAGUGACAAAACCUGAGUGAAAAAGGCCGCUCCAAUUGUAGAUUCCUGGAAAUCGAAAAAUUGGCCUUUGACGAAUCUUAACACCAAACUUGUCUUUCCAGUNNNNNNNCCCAAGAAGUACCAGCUUGGCUUGUAUGUUCUUGUUGCUCGUUCUCGCCAUUGCCAAUCGAUGAAAAUUUCAGAGAGAGAAUGAUUUUUGGAUUAUAA